rnacentral:lncRNA from 1 species
GAAACUUGAUUAAUAUGCGGCUGGAACACAUCACCGAUGCCUAAAUUGCGAGCACAGAUUUGAGAAGUAUUUCGUGGUGGAGAAGGAAACUAAAAUUAAAGGGCGAUUAUUUCUUUGUUUCAUUAAGAAUUAUGGAUUUUGGGAUUGAGUUUUCAAAGAAGGUUCAAAUAGCCAAUCAUCUAGACCUAGCGCUUCCUCAAUUAACUUUACAACGGAUGAAACUUCCGGACAAAUAUCACACAUACUCCAAUCUCAAGUUCACAUCUCUGUUGAAGAAGAUCUACAAAUUAUAACGAAUGUGAAGGUCUGCAAGGAAUCGUCAAAGUGAGUUGAGAAGGGAAGUGGUCGACCUGAUUAGUGGCUAUUUAUCAAUCUAGUGGUUAUUACAUAAUAUUUUGUAUGAGGUCAAAAUAUUUUCAGCGAAGAUAUGUUAACUAUAUUUGUAAACUAUAUUAAUUUACAAGACUAGUCUCAAAGUGCUAUCCUCUUUGUAUAAUCUACAGAAAAUCUACCUUUUAGUUUAUCUAUUAGUGCUUUCUAUAUCCAUUUUGCGAGAUAGAUUAGUCUCAAGUGCUAUCCUCUUUGUGUAAUCUACAGUAAUAUUUGGAUGCCCAUGAG